rnacentral:rRNA from 1 species
UACGUAGGGUGCGAGCGUUGUCCGGAAUUAUUGGGCGUAAAGGGCUCGUAGGCGGUUUGUCGCGUCGGGAGUGAAAACACCGGGCUUAACUCGGUGCUUGCUUUCGAUACGGGCAGACUAGAGGCAUGCAGGGGAGAACGGAAUUCCUGGUGUAGCGGUGAGAUGCGCAGAUAUCAGGAGGAACACCGGUGGCGAAGGCGGUUCUCUGGGCAUGUCCUGACGCUGAGGAGCGAAAGUGUGGGGAGCGAACAGG